GCGAUUAAUAACCGUCAAACUCGGUGAGGGUAAGGUCGAUUUAACGAUUAAAUAGUCAGAAUUGCCAACCCUACUCUCUAAAAACUAAGCCAUAAAUUACUUUUUUUCUGUGCCCUCUCUUCUCUUGAUCGCUCCACCUCUGUUCUCUCCCUGACUCUCUUCCACAGCUGCGGCGGCAGCGACGCCGCCAUUCUCCUUCUUCUCUUACUCCUUUUUUCCUUUCUAAUCUCCCUCUUCUCUUUUCUCUUCUCAUCUCUAUUUUUCUUCCUCCGCCUUUAUUUUUUGCCUCUCAUCCACAGCGACGGCGGUUGCCUUCUCCUUUGUUCUCCCUUUUUCUUGCACCCAUAGCAGCGGCGGCUGAACGCCGCCGCCUCCCACUUCCUCUCUUCUUGCGCACAGCAGUGGCGGCGGUACGCCUCCGACGAGUCCUCAUCCUCUCUACUCUCGAUAAAAAAACUAGAUUUGGUUUUGCAUGUCGGAGGAGGACACCUCCGACGAGUCCUCUGACGACAUGCAAGCCCCGAUCUAUAGAUUUAGGGUUUUACUUUUGUUUAUAUAACUUUCUCUGACUUUUUUUUGUUUUUUUGUAUGUUAUUGGGUUGGGAAUCGAUGGAAAGAAAAGAAGAGGGAAUCUCGCCGUCGACGACGCGGCCGUCGAUCGAAGAGGAGACGGACAGAGAUUAGGAGAGGUAGGUAGAAAAGAAAAAAACACGGUUCUGUUUCGUAAUCAAUUUAUCUUACAAAUGAAAGGAAAAAAGAUUGAUUUUUUCUAGGUCUAUUUUAGGUGAAAGAAAAAAUGACACAGAUCUAAUUCACUGGAGAAAAUAGGAAACUGAGCGAAGAAGAGGGGAAGCAACUUUUGGUAGGGUAAAAUACUUAAUCUCUAAUUAUUCUGAUUUUGCGAGGUAGAUUGUAGUGGUUUUGUCAUUGACUAGAUUGCUUAAAAUAUAAAAGUUUGACUAUUUUGUAAUUCAAACUAGAUUGGUAAUCUAAAUGCUUAUGAAAAAAAUUUAUGUUUGAGAAUUUUGAUGAUUUUACUAUUUCUAAUAAAAUUCCAGAAAUAAUAUUUGACGGAAAAUUCAUAUUAUGAGUAGUUUUAUAGUUCUUGAUGCAAAUGGUGCAAAAAGAGUGCUUGAAGAUCAUUUAGUUCUUUGCUAAUCUAUUUUUCAGCACCCAUUUUUUAGUCUGAGAGCUUGUUUCACCAAUUAGUUUGUACUUCAUUGUUUGCUAAAAUGAAUUAUUUAACCAUUUAAUUAUGCUAAAGAUUAUAUUAGUAGUUUAAAUGGUGAAAUAACACACAAUCUCUAACUAGCAUGCUUACCGGAACAAAAGUAUGAAUGGUGUGUUGAUAUGAAAAAUUACAAAGAAAUUUCGUUUAGAGAUACCAACCUUUAAAGAACUGAUUUUUGCUCUUCUUCUUUAACAGUGUUGACAAGAUUUUCUGGCCGCUCGCUUCAAGAGUUUGGAACUUCAAAAGUGUUGACUACAGAUUUUUGAAAUUUCUAUUGGAAGCACUUUAUACUCUUUUGUUUAUUCUAAUUUUAUGGGGUGUAGUGAGAUUGAUGAUUGUUUGGAAUUGGGGCAUGUUGGUGUUUUGCUACUUUUAAAAUGUUGUCUUUAUGCUUUUUUUUCUUCUCUGUUUGUGGUCCAAAGUCUAUUGUUUUAUACUAAAAAUGGUUGUUGUUGUCGCCCAC
rnacentral:lncRNA from 1 species